GUCUGUGCAGGAAUAGAAACCCUGACUAAGACAGUGGGUGAAGGAAAAAAACAAAAGGAGGACAUGGUAGCUCCUGGGUAUAGUGGAGGAGAAGGAUUAGAGUACACGUGAGGGGGAGCAGAGGCAGAGGCAGAGGCAACUGGGAGAAUGCAGGCUGAACAUGACCAGCAAACUGAGCCAAGCCAUGUCAGCAGAGCGGGGAGCGGGAGAGCCAGAAGCUGAUAGGCCAGGAGGCCAGGAGACCUAAAAGGGCCCCCAAAAGCAAAAGAUCACAUAGCCAAAAUGGCUGGGUUAUAUAGGGAAGAGCAGCUGGUGGAAGGGCAACCCUGCCCAGUCCCUGGGGCUGGAGAAGUUUAAGGGAGUGUGGGAUAUGGCAGCCGCAGGACCCUGUAACAGGUAAGGGACUGAGAGAUGCUGAGAGGAGAUGCUGAGAGAACCUGGUGGCCGGCAUCGGCUUUGAUAUGUUCAUGGACGUCUUGGUUAUGGGGGUGGGGGUGGUUUGAGACCUAAUGUCCCGGCCUUUUUGUUGUUGGUAAAGGUUGAGGAAGGACGAAGGGCCAUAAAGGGUGACAUAAUCUUUAUCUACUUUCUGCUGAAAUUGCAGUCAUCGAGAGCUCGAAGGCAGGAGUAUCAAGAUCACAGAAUAUUUAAUAAACAAAAACAGCUUACGUGGUUGUUGAGUGGGGAACACAGACCGCAUCUUAAGCAUGUGUGUUCCUGGAUCUCUUGGUCCAAACUUUCCCACGGCUCCGGAACUACUUAAUCUAUUGGCCUGAGAAGAGUUAUUAGGUGACUGAGGAUAUCAGCUAGAUAGCACACCUACAGACUCCGCCCUUCCCCAGGGCCUGAGUGAACAGAAGCUGGGAUGAUGGAGGACGGGCUACUGGCUGAUGGGAAAGGCAAAGAAUCACUGAGCUUGGACCAAGAGAUCCUUGGAAAGCUGGGGUGGGGAUGGCUUCAAAUCCCCCAUCAAUUCGCUCUUCCAAAAACACUGAUAUUUGGAUGUUGUACUGGCUGGUUUUGUGUGUCAACUUGACACAAGCUGGAGUUAUCACAGAGAAAGGAGCUUCAGUAAAGACGGAGCCCAGAGCAUGGAGUGUGUUUACCAUCAAAGCUACGCCCCCUCCCUCAGCUCAGAGAAUCAUCUUUAAAUUUUCCUGGACUUGGAAAGAAACGCAAAUAUAAAACCACCCACCUCUGUUGGUGCGGUGAUGCUAACCCAAAACCAUCUCUUGCCGUUUUGAUGGCACAUGGCUGGGAUCUACACACUUCUGUCUUUGCAGCGUUAAGUGAUAAACUUUUUGAGGCCCCUUGAGCCACGUGGAGUCUCCGCUGAAUGCUUGCUUUGUUAUUUCCCUCUACAGCCUGUAAAAAAAUUGUAAAAGCCUUUCACAUGUUUCAGAGACUAUAUAAACUCAGACUGCAGACCCAAUUUAAAGCCUGCAGGCCAUAAUCUGUGGGCUCUUGGUUUAUGGAAAGCGUUUGCCUCUGAGAUAGUGUCUAAUAUCAGCUCUCUCCUCGGAAAGAUGGUGUGUGUGUGUGUGUGUGUGUGUGUGUGUGUGUGUGUAGCCACACUUGCUUGACAGUAGAAUAUUAGCAGGCAAGAGAGCAAGGCUUGGCUACCUGCUAGCUCAUGGGUGACAGACACAGGGAGAGCAAAGUCUAGCUGGGAAUCUCAGCCAGCCUGUGAUGCUCUACAACACACACUCAGAAAAGGCCUCGGCCUGGGGAAGGGCUCAGAGUCAGAGUGCAAGUUUAGCCUGCUCAAGGCUCUGCUUUUGAUGCAGACGGAGAAUGAAACGGGAGCAGGAAGAAAGGAAGAGAUGGCCUCUGUGGGGUGUGGACUGAGGGGCUGUUGAAUCAUUGCAGUUCUUUCUCUUUAGCUCAGGAAGCACUUACACAAAACGCUUCUUUUACAGCUCUUACAUUUACGUAUCUGUGUGAGUGUGUGUAUGUCUCUACGCAGGUGAUCGCCGUGGAGCAAGUGGGGAGUUCACAGAGCAACAGGUGGACUGACCCCAGGUUGUCAGGCUUGUGACAAGCACCAUUCGUUGACACACAAAGUACUUCUUCAAGUGUGGGCAGGGAAUACCUGCAAAGUGCCUCAGAAUCACUGAAGGUGGUUCCCGGGGCCCUCACAUAGUAGAAAGGAAUACUUUAGGCUAGCAAGGGAGAAACAGACCAUGGAUUGUAAGACCUUAUUUAUUUAUUUUUUCCAGUACUGAGGAUUGAACCCAGGGCCUCAGGCAUGCUAGGCAAAGUUUUACCAAUGAGCAGCCACCACCCCACCACCCCCCAUACCAGACUUUAAUGAGUUCUUUGACUCCUAUGGACAAUAGCUGUUUUGCUUUGGUUUGGUUUUGCCCUGUAGCUUUUUGGAGAUUAUUGGCUUGUUUCUAUUUUACAUGUGUGAAUAUUUUGCCCGCAUGCACCACAUGUGAAAUGUGUCUCUCCAGCUCCUGCUUUGUUAUAAAGAUAAGAUCUUACAGCGAUCAGCCUGGCCUUAAACUCCUUCCUCGUCCUCUUGCUUCUAUCUCCCAAGGGCUAGGAUUACAGGUGUGCACCA